AUCACUUAUAUCAUAUACAAAAUGGGGGAUAACUCUCAUAUGGAGUCUCCGGAUAGCUUCGGUCAAAAUAAAACAGCACAUCCUGAGGAUAUAACGAGCAAUUUGGAAAAAUAAAUUUGUCGGUUUCUUAUACGGUUGCGAAUAUUAAGCGAUCACAAGAAAAACAGUGUUCGGGGAGAUAACUCUUACAUUGAAAAGAUUUUGGUUACGCGGUUUCAGUUACAAAAGCGUAAUAACUGUUCGAUAUCAUGUACCAUAUGUCUAAGCGACAUCUUGCGAAACAAAAAAACUGCGAAGGAAAAAAAAGUUGGCGGAAGAAAAAAAAUAAUAAUUCAAAAC
rnacentral:lncRNA from 1 species